rnacentral:lncRNA from 1 species
AAGAGAUGACAACCGGACCAGAUUUCCGCGGUCUCUCUCCAUCUGUCUCUUGCGAAAACCCGUUGGCAAUUAGUUCGUGGCAAGAACACCACGCGCCAAUAACGAGACUGCCUCCCGAGAUCCCGAAGCGGUGUCUGACGACGACGCAGCGCGACAGUGUGCAGAGAGCGAGACGUCGAAGCGUCGCUUCUGUGCCAGGCGGAAUCGUGUGUCCUUUCUGCGUUGGAGGACUUCCCAGGAAGGACCCUUUGUCGUGAACAAAUCAUGCGGUGUUUUAGCCGGUACAGCGUGGUCAAGAAGCGGAACAGUCUUCGGCGACAGCUCAGUGCGCAAGUUUUCGGGCUUUGUUGCCAUCUUUUUCUGUGGACAAUCUCGAGUACAUGAAUAGAGUUUUGACCCUUCGUAAGUGUUGAGCGUCGUCACAUGGUUCGCGCGAACAAUGCGCUCGUCAGGACUGGUCGACCGGGAAACGUGAGUUCCGGAAAUGAUUAGGUAUGACCCGCGAGACCAGUUUAAUUGGGGCCACCGGUGCCGAGGGGCGACUCCCCCUGGUUACCGGACGGGAAUUACGACCCUUUCCACGAGAAAAAAAUUGCCCAGCACCCGCCGUGUUCAUCACCACAUGACGAGAGACGCGCGGUUCACUGACAGGCACGGCUGCGCUUCGAAGCACGUCCUGUGGCAACUGUAUGGAUUGUUACUUUUUCAGGCUCCACGUAGCUAGCCUCUGUCCACGUGCUGCCGAGCGUCUAGGCUCACUGAAUUCCGUGUGGCAUUAUCGGGUGGCGUCGAUGUGUCAAGGGAAAGUGGGGACCUAUGGAAGCUAAUCUUCAGCCAUCAGCUGAGUAAAGUAUUGUAGCGCAAUCCAAGGGAUGUGGCGCUGUCGAAAAACUGCAAUGACCGCAGAGCACGGCAUGCUGGCAUCAAGGAAGAACGGGAGAAAUGCGCUGCCUUUUUCGUGGUUACGCUGUCUUUGCCGGGACAUUCAGGAGCAUACCGUUAUAUUCGAUAAUCUUUACCCUGAUUACCUUUUUAUAUGAAUACAUGGUGUUCAAUUGGUUAUACUUCCCCACAAUAGUUAUCAUCUCAACUCUGCCCGCUUCGCGUUUCACUGAAAGCGUUGUCCACGGCCUCGCGGAGACUUGCGUCACGUCCACACGCAACUGUACAGGUGGAAACCUUACGGCUCAGAGCAGACGGGAAACGUUUCUCAACUGGCGUCGAAUGCGCCAGGUCAAGAGUGCCACAGUCAGUAAAGAGGUUCGAAGCCAUUGAACGCGAAGAGGGAUCCUCCUCCCACCAGUGCAGCGAGGCGUUCGGAACUCCACCGCUGUGCAGGCGUCACGAACAACGGAAACACGUUUGCAACGGGAACAUAGACCACUGCAUGUUCUGCCUGCUUUACGUGCUGCAGAUGCGACCGCCGACCUUCUCGUGCUGAGCCUUGUUGUGGGGCAGGAGUGUCGGUGCUCCGUUUUGCUGCCUCUUUGUCAUUUUGGCCUGUUUGUCGGAGACGGUCCCCCGCAGCAACGUCUUUUGCUCCAGCCUCACUGUCAGGAAGCCGACGCAGAGAGGCGUGGGAACCGCAGGGUUUUUGCUCAACUUGCAUCCCGUUUGCUUUCUUUGUGGAACAGCCAGGAGGGGGUCGGUGGAACUGAUUCUCCGAGCACAAACACAGACAAGGUUUUCCUUGAGAGUUAGCGGUUCUGGUGUGGUCUGCGUCCACCAUCAGAGGCUUUUCUGACUCAGCGCUCCGCCGAUCCUCCCGUUUUCCCUCUGCCUCACCGUGCUGGCACGGCACCGGGGAAGAGGCGACUCCGUCGUUAGACGCGUUCCCUGAACAUCGUUGCAUCGCUCGGCUGUCGCCAUGAGGAGAAGGACGGGCACGAGGGACGGUCGAGUCACGAACAGCGACAGCUGCUGGCAAAGCGGCGACGGAAAAACAGUUAGAUGUGGGAGAGAAGGCAGGCAUUCCGCUGACCAGCAGAAACACAGUAAGGCAAUGCUGCUGAAAAGAUCGAGAAAUUCCCAUUCCUGCUGACUUUGAAGAGGGAAAAUGGAAGCAACUCCUCGGCCAACGGACGGCGUUUCGGUCUUGAACUCGGUCUCACAGGUGCGAAGGACCGAAAUGGACAGUGAGUGGUUACACACAAACUUGGUUUAUAGAAUCUCGGUGAAAUUCUCGCGCAGCCUGCGCCCAUUCCUGCUCACAUAUGGGCCUGUAGAAAUGACGGAAAGACAACGCUAGACACGUGCAAAGAUACCGAGAAGAACGCCCCAGCAAACUAGGCUCGGUCUUUCGGGAGACUGCUGGACAUAUCGCGAACUGGCAAGACCAGCAUGAUUCAUAAUUAGAAAACCCAAUGAAGCAUCGCAGAACCGAAUAUGUUUUCCGCUGCAAGACAGAAGGGACAGACUUGCCAAAAAGUGAAAAUCGUCAAAUCAGCAAUGCAUGAGGGUACGACAGACACGUUUCUGUCUUGCUGGUCGUGAAAAGCCAAAGUGUGACAAACAGACGGUACGCUGCUUUCGAAGUCAUCCUUUUUUGUCUUAGCUGAGAGGUCUUCAGCGAGAUUCUUCCGAGAGAUCUUAAAAGCCAUGUGGGAUGCAAACCCACCACCACCAUGGGUAAAAAUGAAACAUUACACGGUGACCUGCGGCCAAAAGGUGGCAGUUUUUUGUCAGACGACUAUGGGGACAGAAGUACGGUCCCGGUUGUUUUUAGAUCAAUUCGUCAUUGUAACUGGUUGAAACAGAACCAGUUAUUCCCCUGCGUAUGGCUGAAGAGCUCGGGCAACGAAAAACCAGACAGUGGAGCAGUUCGCGAGGCCGAUCAGCCGCAACCUUCGAAUCGUGGGAAGUCCACGUAGUGCUUUCCAUUAUGAUUCUACUGUCCCGGGACACACCUACUCACAAGAAAGGCUGCAUGUGAUUUUAUUAACCAGUUCUUUAGACGAAGCACAGUUCUGCACUGAGUGGGUACGGACUCUCUUUUCCUGACAAAGACGUUGCCACGAGUGAACGGCGCGUGAAACCGGGGAUGAAGACUUUUUCUGUGACCACAGCACGCUGGAGAGUGAGUGAUGUGUCGGAGAUGGGGGAACGUGGGUAUCGAUGCCGACCUCCUCUCGUGUCGAACAUCUUCCAAAUGUUUCCCUCGCAACAUGCCGACGGAAGCUGUCCAGAGAAACCAUCUGCAGUACGGUGUGAGUGCAGCUACAACCCGAUCCUUUACAAAACUGCAAGGUUUUUGAGAGACACGCUUGACUGUUUUCCUGUUUCCCCGAUGUCCAGAGUUUCUUCGCCAUGUUCGCGUGAUCCUGAGAGAACCACAUAGAGCUCUCGGGAGUUCGACGGCACCGCCAAUGCUCCAUGUUCAUGUGGUCAGUACCCACUUGGCUUUGCUUCCGCGAAC